rnacentral:rRNA from 1 species
UGGGGAAUAUUGCACAAUGGGGAAACCCUGAUGCAGCGACGCCGCGUGAAGGAAGAAGUAUCUCGGUAUGUAAACUUCUAUCAGCAGGGAAGACAAUGACGGUACCUGACUAAGAAGCCCCGGCUAACUACGUGCCAGCAGCCGCGGUAAUACGUAGGGGGCAAGCGUUAUCCGGAUUUACUGGGUGUAAAGGGAGCGUAGACGGAUCUGCAAGUCUGGAGUGAAAGCCCGGGGCUCAACCCCGGGCACUGCUUUUGAAAUCUGUGCGGCUAGAUUUCAGGAGAGGUAAGCGGAAUUCCUAGUGUAGCGGUGAAAUGCGUAGAUAUUAGGAGGAACACCAGUGGCGAAGGCGGCUUACUGGACGGUAACUGACGUUGAGGCUCGAAAGCGUGGGGAGCAAACAGGAUUAGAUACCC